UACGAAGGGGGCUAGCGUUGCUCGGAAUUACUGGGCGUAAAGCGCACGUAGGCGGCUUUCUAAGUCGGGGGUGAAAUCCUGGAGCUCAACUCCAGAACUGCCUUCGAUACUGGAGAGCUCGAGUCCGGGAGAGGUGAGUGGAACUGCGAGUGUAGAGGUGAAAUUCGUAGAUAUUCGCAAGAACACCAGUGGCGAAGGCGGCUCACUGGCCCGGUACUGACGCUGAGGAGCGAAAGCCAGGGGAGCAA
rnacentral:rRNA from 1 species